rnacentral:misc_RNA from 1 species
UGUGGGAGCGAGCCUGCUCGCGAUGGCGUCGUUACAGUCAAUAUUGAUUUCAACUGGAACAUCGCUAUCGCGAGCAGGCUCGCUCCCACA